rnacentral:lncRNA from 1 species
UUUCUCCAUUCUUCCUUGUCUCUGCAAUCUACUUUAAAGUUCAUCAUGAUCGAUUACCACCACAUGCUCAAAUUAGAACAGAUACUCCAAGAGUUCAGCAUGUAUCUAUACAAAAUCAAAGAAAACAAUGAACUUCGCUGGCAAAAGCACAAUGCUGCUCUACAGGCGUGUUUCUGUCGGUGUGAACAGAGAGUCCAUGAAGCACGAAAAGGUUGUGCGGCAAUAUUUUCUCUCCUACCACAUAGAAGAUUCGUCUAUCAUACUGAAAAUUUUUCUCUUGUUGGAAACAGUAAGGAUUCUAUAUCUCCUAUAGUUGACGAUGAGAUAAGAGUUGAGAUUGUAGAAUCUUUGAUUGUUGAGAAGCUUGAUUAAACAGAAAUUAAGGAAAGGACCAAGCAUGAAAACUGGCUACGAAAGAAGGGCAUUUGAAGAAUGAGCAUCAACUGUUUGUUAAAAUUCAAUCACAAUAUUUUCCAAUGUCAUCUAAAGCUAUGUAUUAGCAGCAACAAGAUCAAGGGAUAGCAUCACUAGAGUAUCUUAUGAACCUGCCGACAUUGAGCUCUUUUGAAAAUUCAUUUAGAAUCCGGACUCUAUUUGUGGAUGGUGAUUGUCUUUC